ACUGAGAAUGACCCACUUGUAGAACACCCUUUGCCUAAUUAGGAAUGAAUAUUUUAUUACACAAUACCAAUAUUGUCAUCCAAGGGAAUAUAUUUACGUGAGACAACUGCCAAGUGGCUGGAUGGACUUAGUCCCAUCCAAACAAACAAAGAUAGUGAUAACCCAGACACUCUCACGGCGCAGACAUGAAAAGUCAAUCAAUGUAAUGCCUGGACUACGUGGCCAGGAUGAGGGAAAGGGUUCCUGAGGGAGGGAUAAAGUUUGUUUGGAGAAUGUAAACCACUGUGCAGAACAGCUUGUCAGAAAUACAUGUUUGAUAAAAAAUGAGUGUAAUCCUAAGACUUGAAGUCAAAAUGUAGAUGAAGUCAAAGUAGAAAACAAUUUAGUUGAGUCCUUGACUAAUACCAUCUUUAGAAGUGUUAAAUUGAAGCCAAAUUGAGAUCCUCUCCGAGGCUCUAGGCCUGAAUAUAUGGCAUGUUAUGACUUAAAACUUUGUUCAAGUUUGUUAAAUUCUGUAAGUCAGAUACUCGAAGAAAGUUAACCAAAACACUUUUGGCAAAAUUGCAGCAGCAUGUGAGAUAUCUUGACUUGAAUUUUUUAGGAAAUUAUUUCAAGUAGGCUGUGAUUGUAUAAAUUACAAAUAUCAAUAAAUAUAGUAACACAUUUAGCUUAAAAUAUAUAGAACCAUUUAUGUUUUUGGUGCAAAAGUGAAAUCCUCGAAAAGAACCAGAAAUCAGCCGCGAAGUACGUUUUAUUGAUUUGGCUAACAGACUUUAGUUUGACAAACCUGUCACUAUUAUGAGGCACGGUAAGCGCUGGUGGCAUGUUUGAUUCGAACUCGUUGGCUCCACCGGCAACUUGUGGCAACUAAAAGCUUCACUUAGUUAACGGGAUUUGACGUGAGCGGAAGUUGCUUCGCUGAAAAUCGGACAGAAAUUUACCUGUUUUACAACAACCCGGAAUUCUUUGGCCUAAACCUAUAGUAACGAAGCCAAACAAGGACUCAUUGCAAUCAAUAAAACAAAUCAGCACUCCGAAAAUUAAUUUCUUUUUUAAAAUUGAAAAAAAAGUACUCCUAAAAUGACAUAAAUUAAUGUGCGUUGUGGUGAUUGUUAUUUUUAAAUAUAAUAAAUAAAAAAUUGUCACUCUUAGUUGGAUAAAGGAUAAGAAAUUUGCGGCUAAACUUUCGGUGAAAAGGAGGUAAGUGGAAAUAUAUAGGAUAUGGAGACUGCAUGUUCAACCCAACACACCAGACCUUAAUAUAGAAAUGUGUGUUUUGCGAGAGACCCUAAGGACGAAUCGCUAUCAAUCUUAAUUUAUAACAAAUUUAAUAUGGUUGUUUCGGAAUCGAGCGGGAAAGUGGCGCGGAAUUCCCAACGGAAAAUCGGAUACCAAACACCAUGGCUUCGGGGCCUACACAUAUGCUUUGGUUUCCGAAUUCACCCCAAGCACCCCACAUCUAAAAACCAUUUCAGUUUCCAUCCUCCGACAAGGUUUCUUGGAAAAUGAGCAGUGCGUCGAAGGAGAUGCCUUGCCUUGGCCCUAAAGUCCUGUACGUCAGCGCCCGUAAAUAUGCCACAAAAAUAUUGAAAUGGGCGCAGUGAACGUGUUGUGCAAAACACUUAAGUGAUUUUAUGGCGCCAUUCAAAUGUUUUCCAAAUCAGCGGUACGUGAACCGCAGCUUGUGGGCUUCCAUAAACUCUUUACGAAUGCCAGCAGUAUUUUAUAAAUCAACAAAAACCCGGUGAACAAGUAAAAUGAACGUUUUCAGCAACAAGUAGACAACAGAGACAUAUAUUUUAGCCAGCUUUCGACGGUUUCCCUUUUAUUGACAUAUUGACAACUUUAGCAAAGGAAAAAAUGACUUCCCCUGAAUGGUUUAGGUCUUUAAUAAUUUACUUUGCGUCAAAUAAUUUAUAAGGAUGGGCUUGAAUAUAACUCAGUCCCUUCUUAAAAUUUUUUCUCAAAUCUUUUAAGAAAAUAAUCUUUAAAUGUUAACCCAAUAACAUUAAUAAAACUCUUUUUGUACAAAAGCUAUAC